UACGGAGGGUGCGAGCGUUGUCCGGAAUCAUUGGGCGUAAAGGGCGCGUAGGUGGCCCGGUCAGUUCGUGGUGAAAGCGCGGGGCUCAACCCUGCGUCGGCCAUGAAUACUGCCGCGGCUGGAGCACUGUAGAGGCAGGCGGAAUUCCGGGUGUAGCGGUGGAAUGCGUAGAGAUCCGGAAGAACGACCGGUGGCGCAGGCGG
rnacentral:rRNA from 1 species